UACGAAGGGGGCUAGCGUUGCUCGGAAUUACUGGGCGUAAAGCGCACGUAGGCGGCUCUUUCAGUCGGGGGUGAAAUCCUGGAGCUCAACUCCAGAACUGCCUUCGAUACUGUAGAGCUUGAGUUCGGGAGAGGUGAGUGGAACUGCGAGUGUAGAGGUGAAAUUCGUAGAUAUUCGCAAGAACACCAGUGGCGAAGGCGGCUCACUGGCCCGAUACUGACGCUGAGGUGCGAAAGCGUGGGGAGCAAACAGG
rnacentral:rRNA from 1 species